rnacentral:rRNA from 1 species
UAGGGAAUAUUGGACAAUGGGGGGAACCCUGAUCCAGCCAUGCCGCGUGGAGGAAGACUGCCCUCUGGGUUGUAAACUCCUUUUAUAUGGGAAGAACCGUCCUCAUUGAUGAGUGACCUGACGGUACCAUAGGAAUAAGCACCGGCUAACUCCGUGCCAGCAGCCGCGGUAAUACGGAGGGUGCAAGCGUUAUCCGGAUUCACUGGGUUUAAAGGGUGCGUAGGCGGAUAUGUAAGUCAGUGGUGAAAUCAACGGGCUCAACCUGUUAACUGCCAUUGAUACUGUGUAUCUUGAAUAUGAGAGAGGUAGGCGGAAUGUCGCAUGUAGCGGUGAAAUGCUUAGAUAUGCUACGGAACACCGAUUGCGAAGGCAGCUUACUAUUUCGUAAUUGACGCUGAGGCACGAAAGCGUGGGUAGCGAACA